UUGCCCCACUGUGCUGAACUAUUCAAAGUGAUGAGGAAAACACUUGAAAUUGAUCUUGUUUUGAUUUGAAAUGCAGUUUAAUGACAGCUUCGGCAGACUUUGCUUCGUUUCUUCAUUUGUGUUUUGGCGGUCCGGUGUGUUCGUUUUUCGCAGGCUUGAAUGACCGCGUGAGUUUGCUGCCGCCAUGUUCCUGUCCAGUAAAUUGCUUGCCCGGUUUGUGGCCGCGAAGACGAGCAUCGUCACAAGGCUGUGUCCGUAUGGCCAGCGGAAGGGCUCGGUCUCCCGGACCCGGAAAGAGGCCAACUUUGGCGAUAGAGGUGCUUUCCGCAGAUUCACCCACUUGGAAGGAUGCGAUUGAGCUGCAGAUGCCGUACCAGGAAGCGUUUGAUGAAAUAAAGGAAAACACCCGCCUGGUGCUGGAGAAUCGGUGAGAAGCUGGAUUCGAAUGCAUUCCACCCAGGGGCCAAGCAAUGCGUCAUUCAGAUGGUCAAGGCACAGUUUGAUUAGAUGGAACCGACCGCGGUUCCGAAUCAACAAGAAGAUUCCCCGGGGGCCUCCAUCUCCGCAGAAAGCGGUGGUGGCGAACAACCCGAACCUGACCAGGAGGACGAUCCUGAGAGCAGGGACAACCGGAAGAAGAGACAAUUCAACAACAAAAAAAAAA